rnacentral:lncRNA from 1 species
CACAGGAUUACCCUUCUCCCCACCCCCAUUUUAGAUGCCAAUUGCAAGUUCAGGUUGUCACCUCUGCUCCUGACCAACCCGCUACAAGACUGCAGGUUCCCACAACCCCCUCCUCGGGUUUGAGUGCUUUGGCAGAGUGGCUCACAGAACUCAGGAAAACCUUUUACUUAUAAACAGCCAGAUGGAAGAGAUGCAUAGAGAAAAACACAUGGGGAAGGGCCAAGGAGCUCCCAGAGUCUCUCUGGGUGUGACACUCUCCCCGAACCUCCACCUGUUUGCCAAUGCGGCAGCUGUCUGAACACCAUCCUUUCGGAGUCUAAUGGAGACUUCAUCACCUAGGCAUAGUCAAUUCGAUCAUUGGCUCUUGGCUAUUCAACUCCAUCUUCAGCCCCUCUGCCCCCUCCCCCACCCCAGGGGCGGGGGCAGGGAUGGGCCUGAAACUUCCAAGCCCCGAAUCGAAUCAUACAAUUGGUUUCCCCGGCACCCAGCCCCCACACUUAGGGCCUUUCCAAGACUCACCUUGUUAGCAUCAAUUCAGGUGGCUGUUGAAAGGGGCUUGUUAGGAAUAACACCAGACAAACCACUUCACCUUUAUGGCUCUGAACUUAUUUCAGUGCUGGACUCUACAAUGUCAGAGAGGCUCAGUGGAGUGUUACAUGUGAAGUCAGAGAUUCCACCGGAAGUGCAACACACAAAGUUGUAGACGGCAGGGGCACUGGAGCCAGCUGAAGCCACAGCAGCAGAACAGGGAGAGCCAUCCCCUGCUCUGGCUUCUGCAGGAGCCCUGGAGCCUGCUCAGGCCCCAGCCUUGGCCCGGGGAGAGCUCACUCUGCAACCUCCGUCAGCCCCAGCUCCUGACCCAUCCC